rnacentral:lncRNA from 1 species
CACAAACACACAUAGACAAAGUCAUAGACUUAGAAACUGACACAGACACACAAAUACACAUAAACAUAGACAUAACACAGAUAUAGACACAGACACACACACAUAAAGUCACAGACUUAGAAACACAAACACACAAAUACAAAUAAACAUAGACAUAGACACAGAUAUAGACACAGGCACACACAUAUAGACUAAGUCACAGACUUAGAAACACAGACACACAAAUACACGUAAACAUAGAUAAAGUCACAGACUUAGAAACACAGACACACAAAUACACGUAAACCUAGACAUAGACACAGAUAUAGACACAGACACACACACACAUAGACUAAGUCACAGACUUAGAAACAUGGACACACAAAUACACAUAAACAUAGACAUAGACACAGAUAUAGACACAGGCACACACAUAUAGACUAAGUCACAGACUUAGAAACACAGACACACAAAUACACGUAAACAUAGACAUAGACACAGAUAUAGACACAGACAUACACACACAUACACAAAAUCACAGACUUAGAAACACAAACACACAUAAACAUAGACAUAGACACAGACACACGCACACAUAGACUAAGUCACAGACUUAGAAACACAGGCACACAAAUACACAUAAACCUAGACAUAGACACAGAUAUAGACACAGACACACACACACAUAGACAAAGUCACAGACUUAGAAACACAGACACACAAAUACACGUAAACAUAGACAUAGACACAGAUAUAGACAAAGUCACAGACUUAGAAACACAGGCACACAAAUACAAAUACACAUAAACAUAGACACAGAUAGACACAGACGCACACACAUAGAUGAAGUCACAGACUUAGAAACACAGACACACAAAUACACAUAAACAUAGACAUAGACACAGACACACACGCACAUAGACAAAGUCACAAACUUAGAAACACAGACACACAAGUACACAUAAACAUAGACAUAGACACAGAUAUAGAUACAGACGCACACACAUAGAUGAAGUCACAGACUUAGAAACACAGACACACAAAUACAAAUACACAUAGACAUAGACACAGACACACACGCACAUAGACAAAGUCACAGACUUAGAAACACAGACACACAAGUACACAUAAACAUAGACAUAGACACAGAUAUAGACACAGACGCACACAUACAUAGACUAAGUCACAGACUUAGAAACACAGACACAAAAAUACACAUAAACAUAGACAUGACACACACUCAGACACAACUACUGAUAGACAUAAACAUAGACAUAGA